rnacentral:misc_RNA from 1 species
AAGGUAGCGCAUAAGCAUUUUAGUAGUUUCAGUUUUGCCAGCUCCACUUUCACCACUGACCAGAAUUGAGUUGCUUUUACCAUCAACUUCCAGGUACACUAUAUAUUUUGGAGACAAUUUAGUGUCAUAGAGUUCUAGGAAGCAGUGAACCGUAGCUCAUUCUUCUACCGAAGCUGAGUACAGGACCAUUGGAUUUGCUAGUACAGGACCACUGGACUUGCUAUUACAGAAGUCACUUGGAAUAAAACCUCGUUGCGUUAAAUUGGUCACUUACCAAGUAGAACACCAACUUUGGGGUGUGACAACAUAGGGGCGACAUAACUCAUAGCAAAUCCAAUAUUUCAUGGUCGCACAAAACACAUUGAGGUCGACUAUGACUUCGUUUGUGGUAAAGUGUCCAAGAAGGAACUGCAGGUUAAGUACAUCUCCUCUCCAAGAAGGAACUGCAGGUUAAGUACAUCUCCUC